rnacentral:misc_RNA from 1 species
GAUGAAGAACGUAGCGAAAUGCGAUACGUAGUGUGAAUUGCAGAAUUCCGUGAACCAUCGAAUCUUUGAACGCAAAUUGCGCUCGAGGCCUCGGCCAAGAGCAUGUCUGCCUCAGCGUCGGCUACUACCCUCAACUAAGUUUCCUAUACACAUAGGGGAAGCCGGUUGGAUCUGGCCGUCCGGUUUGCUUUUUAGGUUGCCGGUCAGCUGAAAUACAUUCACGCUCUGGGGGCUGCUUUCCUUCCGAGGAGAGGCGAGUUCCGAUUUGGUAGGUGACCUUUGCCGGUUGCAUGCCUUCGUUGCCCGCUAAGCUUUCCAGUAUGCGUUGUGCAGGACGCCUUUUGGCUUUCGACCUGAGGUCAGGCAAGAACACCCGCUGAACUUAAGCAUAUCAAUAAGCGGAGGA